GCGAGCCGCCGCCGAGCCGCCUCCUUCCUCCUCGGAUCGCGGGCUGUCAUGGCGACCCCCAACAACCUGACCCCCACCAACUGCAGCUGGUGGCCCAUCUCGGCGCUGGAGAGCGAUGCAGCCAAGCCGGUGGAAGCCCCCGACGCGCCCGAGGCAGCCAGCCCCGCCCAUUGGCCCAAGGAGAGCCUGGUUCUGUACCACUGGACCCAAUCCUUCAGCUCGCAGAAGGACAUUUAGCCAACGCCACCACAGACCUCAUGAAACUGGACCAUGAAGAACCACA
rnacentral:lncRNA from 1 species